rnacentral:tRNA from 1 species
GCCUUUGUGAUGUAAUGGUAGCACACUUGGCAUAUAAUCAAGAGACCCAGGUUCGAGUUCUGGCAAGGGCA